UAACAUACUAAGACUGAAUCAUGAAGAAAUAGAAAAUCUGAACAGAUCAAUAAUGAGUAAGGAGAUUGAACCAGAAAUAAAAAUAUUCCAUCAAAGAAAAACUCAAGUUUUGCUUCAAGGCUAAAUUCUACCAAACAUUUAAAGAAGAAUUAAUACCAGUUUUCUCAAGCUCUUCCAAAAAAAUUGAAGAGGAGGAAUUCUUCUGAACUCAUUUUACAAGCCAACAUUACCCUGACACCAAAGCCAGACAACGACACAGCAAGAAAAGACAAUUACAGGCCUAUAUGCCUAAUGAACAAAGAUGCAAAAAUCUUCCACAAAAUAUGAGCAAACCAAAUUCAAUAGCACAUUAAAAAGACCAUUCACCAUAAUCAAGUGGGAUUUAUCUUUGGGAUGCAAAGAUAGUUUGACAUAUGCAAAUCAAUAAUUGUAAUAUACUGCAUUAACAGAAUGAAGGAAAAAACAUAUGAUUAUCUCAGUAGAUGCACAAAAAGCAUUUGACAAAGUUCAACAUCUUUUCAUGAUACAAACUCAACAAACUAGAUAAUGUACUUCAACACAAUAAAUGCCAUAUAUAACAAGCCCACAGCUAACAUCAUACUAGUGCAAAGUUAAAAACUUUUCCUCUAAGAUCUGGAACAAGACAAGGAUGCCCACUCUCACCAUUUCUAUUCAACAUAAUACUGGAAAUCCUAGCCAAAGCAAUUAGGCAAGAAAAAUAAAAGGUAUCCAAAUUAGGAAAAAGUUAAAUUGUCUCUGCUCAUAGAUGACAUGAUUUUCUUUCUAGGAAACCCUAAAACUGUCACACACACACACAAAAAAACUUGUUAGAAUAAAUGAAUGCAGUAAAGUUACAAGAAACAAAUCAACAUACAAAAACCAGUAGUAUUUCUAUUGCUCACAUUAGAAGCUUUCCUCAUAUGUCUGAUGGUCUUUGCUUAUGUUUACAUGUUUGAGGCACUAAAAAACUGAUUAAAGGCUUCAAAACAUGGAUGGUUCUUGUUGAAUAUAGUUUCUUUAUAGGGUGAUCUGGCUGGAACUCCCAAUGUCAAUAUCUUAAGAUGUUUCCUCUUGAGCUAGUCAGGUUUCCCAGAGAAGGUAUGUCCAAUCUUCUGCCUGUAAGGUGAACGCCUGGAUUCCAGUGUUCUGGCAGCUGAUUGUUUUGGAAAUUUUGUAGUAUAAAUCCAGUUCCCUCUCUGCUUUCCCAAAGCUGCCCAAGGAUGUAGUUUUCUCUGUUUUGUUAUCAUUUACCACAUGCUUCCAAUACAUUGCUAUAAUUGUCUCUUUUCUCAUUCUUCUCACUCUUGAUUUAAAAUAUCCAGGAGUUUGGGAUGGAGUGAAAAUAGAAGAAUGCAUUCAAUCCAUCAUCUGAACCAGAAUUCACGAUUUUUGUUCUCUUUUCAUUUUUGGCUUAACACAAAAAAAUUGGAUUCAUAUAAUUUAUACAAUCAUAAACAUUUUCUUUCAAGGGUUUAUAGUGAUAUUUGUUGAGUAUCCUACAGUUUAUAAUUUUUUUCCACUCUAGAUCCCAUUUGGUUUUUACUAUGUCCUAGUUUAUAGAAACUAUUAUUCCUCAUUUUUAAGUAUGAGAAAACUCAGGUUUAGAGAAGGUGUACCCUAUUCAAUUUUCAACACUUGGUAAGGAGUUGAGAUAAGACUCUAAAACCAGAUUUCCUGACUCCAAAUUUGACUUUUCUUUUGUCACCUGCAUUAGGCAUUUUUUGUGAACAAUUUCUGUGAGUUGAACUAGUCAAUCUGCAAUGCAGCCUUUUUCACCAGUGGAUGGAUGGUAUUCAGCUGUCUUGGAUGAAGCAUAAUGGGGUUGUAAAAGUUGAGGAAUUCUGAGUCCAGGAUGUUCGAUGGUGUUGAAGUUGUCCUUGGUGACGGCAGGUAGGCUAUGAGUGAGAUGCCAGAACUCCCAAAGAAGGAUGGUAGUGACUGAUGGGAGGUCAACAGAUGACAGCAACAAGGCAGGCAGAAAGAACAUGGUGUAUCUGAGCAGCCUAAACCUCAAAGGAGGAAGAGAUCUUAGUUUAGGUAGAUGGUAGAUGUGCAAAGAGAAAACUGGUGAAGGCUGACUUUGCAAAAGGUUGACCCUCCCUCCUGGUCCCUGUAAGAAUGAGGUCUAUCACAGAAUUAGGUCUUACAGAAUCCAAAUAAGACAAGGAGGGGGAGGAAACAUUGGGUGUAUAGAUUGAAGAUGCAGAUGGGAUAAUGAUGAGAGAAUGAGGUUUGGAAAGAAUUGGGAUGAGAUUUAGUGAAAAGAAGAGUUGGGAGAAAGUAGGUUCAGAGCAAUUCAAGGUUGUGUAUGUGACCUUCAGUGAAAUAAUAAAAAUCCUUGCAACCGGAGUAGUUGAGGAUAGCAGCAAGGCACUUAGAGCUUUGUUUCAGUUUCUUCCUUUUUCCAAUGGAAGCGUGUCUGUCUUCACCUGUAGCAUGUCCUGGCUUGCCAGCCUGGCCCACAGGGCUCUUUCUCGUCUGUGACCGCCAAAGGCAUUGCGUGAAGGAUUUGGUCUGAAGCCAAAGUAAAUAGCAGCUGAGAGACACACAACAGUUGGUGUCUGGCUCAGAUGACUCUGGCGCCUUCCUAGACAACCCUCCUCCCCUCAAAAUGUCUGCUUGGCUCAAUGAAAAUGAAAAUUAACAUUUGUACAGUGCUUUGGGGUUUACCAGCCACUUCCACACAAAGCACUUAAUUUCAUCCUACCAACUAUGCUGGUGGUAAGUAUUAUGAUUCCCAUUUUACAGGUGAAGAAAUCCUCAACUCCCUCCAUGACAAGUGAGUUACAUUCAGUAAUUCAUUAACUCACCCUGAACAUCAGCUUUCUUCGUAAUAAAAUGGAGGCUUAAGAAAACCCAGACUGGUCUCCUUGAGGAUGAGUGAUCACAUGGGGAGAGUGUCCUACUCAUCGCAGUAGUUCCAGUCAUCUCCACUGAGGCCCAAGACAUGUGAUUGAGGCUGGCUGGGACCAGUGAGUCUUUCUCCAACUCCCCACACCUUCACCUGCCAACUGACUGCAGUGAACAUGACCUCAGAGAAAUCAUAGUCACUGGUUUGAACGGACUAAUCAAGACCUAUGAACUGCUGUCUGCACUAAUAUCCACUUUCCCAGAGAUCAAAGCCACGUGGCUGGGGAGACAGACUUUCAGCUGCUUUUCUUGCAUCCUUUUCUGAUCAGAGUGAUUUAUCACUUGAAUGCCAUCAUCGGGUCACAGGCUUUUUACUUCAGAUAUUUGGUAUCAGACUGUUGAGUAUCAGAUGAUUUAGCAUUUGAGUUUAUGCUUAAUCUGUCUUAUAAACAACCCUGUGAUUUAAAAG